rnacentral:rRNA from 1 species
AUUGAACGCUGGCGGCAGGCCUAACACAUGCAAGUCGAGCGGAGCGGCGGACGGGUGAGUAAUACCUAGGCAUCUGCCUGGUAGUGGGGGAUAACGUUCGGAAACGGACGCUAAUACCGCAUACUAUCAGAUGAUCCUCGGUCGGAGUAGCUAGUUGGUGAGGUGAUGGCUCACCAAGUCUACGAUCCGUCACUGGUCUGAAAGGAUGAUCAGUCACACUGGAACUGAGACACGGUCCAGACUCCUACGGGAGGCAGCAGGGGGGAAUAUUGGACAAUGGGAGAAAGCCUGAUCCAGCCAUGCCGCGUGUGUGAAGAAGGUCUUCGGAUUGUAAAGCACGUUAAGUUGGGAGACGUUACCGACAGAAUAAGCACCGGCUAACUCUGUGCCAGCAGCCACGGUAAUUC